CCCUUAGAUGUUCUGGGCCGCACGUGCGCUACAAUGAUGAAUUCAACGAGUUUAUAACCUUGGUUGAAAAGCCUGGGUAAUCUUUUGAACUUUCGUCGUGAUGGGGCUAGACCCUUGCAAUUAUUGGUCUCCAACGAGGAAUUCCUAGUAAACGCAAGUCAUCAGCUUGCAUUGAUUACGUCCCUGCCCUUUGUACACACCGCCCGUCGCACCUACCGAUUGAAUGGUCCGGUGAAAUCUUCGGAUUGAGACUUUGAUUUGUUUACUCAAAACGCUGUUUCAAGAAGUUGAUUAAACCUUACCAUUUAGAGGAAGGUGAAGUCGUAACA
rnacentral:rRNA from 1 species